ensembl:lncRNA
CACGCCUUGCUCUCGUACACAUACAGAUAGACAUAUACACCUGUAUAUAAAAUCUCCAUGUGUAUUUACACACAUCACACUACUACAUUAUUAGCUGCUUGGCAGUGCUUUGUGGUGUGUCGAGUCCACAAUGACAGCAUCCAUGAGAUGAGCUCUGUGGAGAAAAAGAAAGAUUAUUGUAGCAAACAGGCAUACCUGGUUAAAUAGCCAGGUUUCUGGGUUAACUUAGGCCCUUCUUUGGGUCUGUUUUGAAACAAGCAGGAUUGUUUUCCUUUCCCUUCACCCCUCCAUUGCAUUGGCAAUGAUGGGCAUCAGCAGCUACCAGCCUGAAUCCCUUCUGAACAGAUACUGGUCCACCACAGCCCCACUGAGCUGCAGUCAGUUGCAUGCAUUGCCAUGUCAUAGCAUCACGUACCAGGUGUAACUAGCCAUGCCCAUAUUUUCAUGACUUGAACAGCUUUCUGUGGGCCUCCACAUCUGCAUGCAGUCUCCCUCAGCCCACACACUGAGCCCUGCAGCUUCUGACUCAUGUUGCAGGACCCUAUUUGCCCAUUUUUUUGGAGGGGAUGCGUUGUGUUGAUUGGCACAGUCAGGGUUAGUUCUGGCCCUGCAGCAGCCCGGCUUGUUUUCAGUUCCAGCCAUGGGCUGGUCUCCUCUGAGGGAGUUGGCUGCACUCCUCUUUUCCUUCCUCCUCCCCUAAAAGCACCCAACCCAUCAAGUGCAGCAGAGCCAAGCAGUGCAAACACAAGGGCAGCUUUGCAGGGACAUGAUCUUUCCUCACAUCUUGUACAGGCACAGAGCAAAAUAGGCUUUGAGCUUCCUCUGCUGCUUCCUAUUCAGCAGUGGUGGAGCUUUAAAUGCCUGAUCCUUCUACUCUGACAUUUCCUCUGUAUCAUCAGAGAAUAUUCAACAACAUAGAUAUAGAAUAGCAUGGCAGAGACCUGCCCAUGCUCAGUGGGAAUGUGCCUUUCUGUUUAUUCCACACAAAUUCUACUCCUUCUCUGUCCUGAGAAAUGCUUCCCAGCACUGAUAGAAACCCUUUGAUACAAAAGCCAGAGGCUCCCAACUCAUUGCAACUGUGGGACAAGAUGUGCCAAGUGAAAUCCCAGGGCAGCAAAUCCCAUCCUCACAGUUCUUCCCUAUCUGACCAGGAUAACAUAUUUUUCCUGGCUUUGGAUCUGGACGCUGGUUUACUUUAAAUAUACAAGCAAGAUGCACCAGGGAGGUCCUUGAGAAGUUUCCCAUCAAUGUCCCUGCAGCCAUCAGAGGGGUUCUGGAGUUCCCUCCUUGGAGACUGCCAAAAGCCACCUGGGCACAUAGGGCUGGGCACUCUGCCCUGAGUGUUCCUGCUUCAACAGGGAUUGGGACAGAUGCAUCCAAAGGUCCCCUGGCCACACUGCAAUCUUGUGCUUUGGGUGGAUGCAAUACCACUGGUGCACACUGAUACUAAUUCCAGUGAUUAAUAUCGUUUGUUUCUCCAAGGACAAAAUAUUCAAUAUCUCCUUAACAAUGCAAGCUCACAGCUGCUUCAUCUGAAAUAGGAGGUAAAUGGGAUUGAGACGAGUGAAAGUGUGUGUGUUUGUGGUGCUCGUGCUACAGAGAGGAAAUGCGUCUUAGUGCAAAAUAGGGGAAGUGGAGGAAAAACAACACAAAGAAAAUGCUCCAUUGAACAGGACUUGAAUUGGUAUCUUGGCUGCCGGUCUGACUAACUUAUGGUAUCACUAAAUCCCAUUCUCCACGCAGGGAAAGAAGCCCUGCAACUGUGCAUUGUCAGCGUGACGGAAGAAACAAGGGCAGCUGAUGCUGGCUGGGGCAGCGUUGCUCCUGGUCCCACAGACAGGCUAUUGUUCAGCUCAGUGACAAAGGGCUCCCUUCUUUACCUCAGUUACUUGCUCAUGGACGCGUUGGAAUAGUGCAUCUUUUAGGACUACACCAGUUAUGGGCAGAAUGCUUUGGCUGACUGCCAUCAGGCCCCCAUUGCCCCUUGGAAAGGGGCACACGUGGUGGUUACGCUCAGAACAAUCUAAACCCAUCCCUCCGGCACUGCUUUCUCACCUCUCCCCACAGGUGAGUGUUGCUGGAGUGGGAGGUGGUUGUCAGGAUGAGCUCUUCCUCCGCUCACAUGGAAGAAAAGACUUCAGAAACAUCUGAUAAGUGGCAAGUUGUCCCUGCUGGGGUCCUUCCAGUCCGUUAUGCACACUUUUCCAAGAGGACCCAAUCUCUCGGUGAUCUCUGGCAAGUUACAGUGCCCAGCACCUGACAGAAAAGUUUCUCCACUUGUGAUAGUGACAGUGAAUGGUCCCAGCCCCGACGAGUCACAGCCUUCUGUGGCAUGUUAGCUCCGGCACACUUGAGAUGUGGCUCAAUGCAGUCUGUGGAGGUCACCCAUGGGCUUCCAAGGGGAAAAGAACAAGGAAGCUCUGGCUGGCAUCAGGAGGCCACUCAAGCUGUUUUCUUCGUUUACUCCUGAUAGCUCAGCAGCGCCGAGGUACUGCAGACUGGUACACAGACUAGAAAGAAGAGAAAUACUUGUGGAUCUGUGUCUCCCUUCAAUGCGGCUUAAAAGCAACAAGCCUGAAGGAGAGCCCCCUUUCCCACCUCCCUGUCCCACACAGCACUCCCCAUAUCUAACACAAGCCUUACCCUGCACCGGGCCAGCCACAGUACUGGGGCUGCACUCCCACUGCCCAGCACCUGCAGCCUGCUGUGCCCCAGAGCUAAACGCACGCUGCAGCUGGGGAACUCCAAGCACUCUACAAACAGCCAUUAAUCCUCAAAUCAUCCCUGGGAGCCAGGCUUCUAAUUAUUUGGCUUGCCAUUACCUCUGGAACUCACUGUGCUGUUCCUCCAGCCCUGGGAUGAAGAAAGAUAAAACAAUACCCACUAUUUCAUAACAAAUUGCAAAUUAAAUCGACUCCAGCUCAGCCGUUAGGGGGAAAUGUUACCUUCUCCGUAAUCACCCCCUGCAGGCAAGAGCCUGAGAAAACGUAGCAACAGCUAUUCUUUAACAGUGAGGUAAACUUUGACACAAAGCUGGUGUGACAGGCUCCAAGUGAGACAGCCAACGAGUGGUAGAUUUCGGAGAGCAGAAAGCAGGAAUCCGACCUCCCGGUUCCUUGUUCUAUCAAACAAACUGUCUCCCCCCCCCCUCUGAGCCAAAGGUGGCUGCAGAAGGAAGAGAAAAGCAGCUCAUGCCCUCCGUGUCUUUGUAAGAGAUUAAGGAUCCUGAAGGAUUUCGGUCCAAAGGGAAUAAAAAUAAGUAUUUUUUCA